rnacentral:rRNA from 1 species
UACGUAGGGGGCAAGCGUUGUCCGGAUUCAUUGGGCGUAAAGAGCGUGUAGGCGGCCAGGUAGGUCGGUUGUGAAAACUGGAGGCUCAACCUUCAGAGGUCGACCGAAACCAUCUGGCUAGAGUCCGGGAGAGGAGAGUGGAAUUCCUGGUGUAGCGGUGAAAUGCGCAGAUAUCAGGAAGAACACCCGUGGCGAAGGCGGCGCUCUGGACCGAGACUGACGCUGAGGCGCGAAAGCGUGGGGAGCAAACAGG